rnacentral:rRNA from 1 species
CCGUAGGUGACCUGCGGAAGGAUCAUUACAGAGUUCAUGCCCUUCGGGGUAGACCUCCCACCCUUGAAUAUAUACCUUUGUUGCUUUGGCGGGCCGCUUCGGCUACUGGCUUCGGCUGGUGAGUGCCCGCCAGAGGACCCAAAAUUCUGAAUUAUAGUGUCGUCUGAGUACUAUAUAAUAGUUAAAACUUUCAACAACGGAUCUCUUGGUUCUGGCAUCGAUGAAGAACGCAGCGAAAUGCGAUAAGUAAUGUGAAUUGCAGAAUUCAGUGAAUCAUCGAAUCUUUGAACGCACAUUGCGCCCCUUGGUAUUCCGGGGGGCAUGCCUGUUCGAGCGUCAUUAUAACCCCUCAAGCUCAGCUUGGUGUUGGGGCCUGCCAUCUGGCAGCCCUUAAAAUCAGUGGCGGUGCCAUCUGGCUCUAAGCGUAGUAAUUUUUCUCGCUACAGAGUUCUGAUGGAUGCUUGCCAUUAACCCCCAAUUUUUUAUGGUUGACCUCGGAUCAGGUAGGGAUACCCGCUGAACUUAAGCAUAUCAAUAAGCGGAGGAAAAGAAACCAACAGGGAUUGCCUCAGUAACGGCGAGUGAAGCGGCAACAGCUCAAAUUUGAAAUCUGGCUCUUUCAGGGUCCGAGUUGUAAUUUGUAGAAGAUGCUUCGAGUGUGGUCCCAGUCUAAGUUCCUUGGAAACAGGACGUCAUAGAGGGUGAGGAUCCCGUAUGUGAUUGGGUGCCUUCGCUCAUGUGAAGCUCUUUCGACGAGUCGAGUUGUUUGGGAAUGCAGCUCAAAUGGGUGGUAAAUUUCAUCUAAAGCUAAAUAUU